UCGCAGGAUCACGAGCACAACGAUGCUCGAGCAUACAAAGCAGCAGGUACACAAGUCUGCUCGAGCUGCUGUAGUGAUGCUCAGUAACGGCGAUGUCCGAGCGCUUCGCACAGUGCUGGAUGAUGGGGGCUUCGUAACCAAGACCAAGCAGAGUGCUCUUCAGUCGCAAGGUGCGUGUACGCGCUCACAAAUGGGACAUUUUGGGGCACAGCUGAGAGCUUCAAAACUGCGCCUGUACACUUCAUAGUGCUUAAUGCGAUGGGACCCAUCCUGCAGGAACGAACUGCGUCUGCGACACUGAGGAAGGUGCCAGGCAAGGAGAAGGUUAGAAUGAAAAAUGCAGAAAACACUGGGAUUGUUGCCAGCAAUAAUAAGAGAGGAGGACAUGUGAAUCAGAAUAAGAAACCUCUUAAAAAAACAGUGCCCUUGCAUCCAGGGCAAGAGAAGGAUCCUCUGCCCAAAGCCGAAAUUGUCCAAAAUGGCAUUAAACCAAAGAAAGCUAAGAGUCCGUCUGGUGGCACUUGCAAGUUGCGU
rnacentral:lncRNA from 1 species